UACGAAGGGGCUAGCGUUGUUCGGAAUCACUGGGCGUAAAGCGCACGUAGGCGGACUUUUAAGUCAGGGUGAAAUCCAAGGCUCAACCUUGGAACUGCCUUUGAUACUGGAAGUCUUGAGUUCGGGAGAGGUGAGUGGAACUGCGAGUGUAGAGGUGAAAUUCGUAGAUAUUCGCAAGAACACCAGUGGCGAAGGCGGCUCACUGGCCCGAUACUGACGCUGAGGUGCGAA
rnacentral:rRNA from 1 species